AUGAGACCAACAAUGGAUAAUUUAGCUCAGAUUUUGAAAAAAAAUGAAAGGAAACAAAAACAUUCAAACUGUAAGCAAUAAAUACUUUUCAUUGUGCAUUUAUGUCCUUGUUCCCUCUGUAUAACCUAAACUAUUAGCUAAAAAAUCUCAGAAAUAUAGAAACCAUUUCAAAAAUAGAAUCCUUUGUUGUGUAGCGGCUGGUUAGGACAGUCUUUGAAGUGGUCAUUUUGUAGUCAAAGCUCUUGAAAUUUACAUCUUCCUGCAAUGUUUGCCUUAGUUAACAGGUACAGGUGACUGCAUUUGACUUAAGUGUUUGCCACUUGACGAGUGGGAAGGGAAUAAAAUGCCGCUGAAAAUAGCCUAACCAUAACAAUAUGCAAAACGUGUGAAACAACGUGUUAAAAAAAAAUACGUUAUAGAAAAAUUAUAUUUUGAUAAAUGGAAACUAAAAUUUAAAGCGAUAAACAAAAAUCCCUGAUAUUCCAUGACUUGGACCAAAAAAUAAAUAAAAUUCCCUGAUUUCAAUGUCUGGAAUAGACCUUUUAAAAUUCCAUGAUAUUACACAAAUUCCAUGACCCGUGGGAACCCUGAUGGAAGCACUUUGGUGCCCAAAAUAUGGAAUACCAAAAGGGCCAUAAUCUGCAUAAAAGUUUUUCCUCUCUCACUACCCUCAAUGGUGGGGUGGCAUGUGUUUGGCCCCCCGGCGAGUCUGGGGGAGGCCAAAGCACUCAUUUGCACAAGGGUAGUUCGGAGCCGGGGUUGAGCUACGCAUGGUGCAAGUCACAGCGCAGGCCCCUGGCCAGACAAUGUCCACCCUAAUGGUCCAGAGGCACCCCCUAGCUAGCCAUGCAGAGGUGUGAGAUGUCGUCAAAGUGCACUUUCUUAAUGCUCUUAUCUCACAAGCUGGCCUUUUCGGUGACACUAUCGAGUAUGCUUAGCAGUCUCAGCAGUUCAGGUCACCAAGGGCGCCAGUCGCCUGCAAAACAAAAAAACAGGGCUCCAGCACAACUUCAGAAGCUGUUAUAAUUUUGAAGCCACGCAGGAAGAUGACAGCACCUGUUGAAGACAGGUGACCUGGAGAUGGACACAGCUGCUUUUCCCCCGGUGGAGUGCCAGGCAGAGAAUCUCUUGUUGAAAAACAAGAUUACUGUUCAGCCUAUGCCGUCAAAGCCAGCGGUAACCAAUUCUCACUGGAGAGCAGCUUCCUCUGUCUUUGGGUCUGGCGUGGCUGGUGGUGUGUGACACUAUGCCUUGCCACCCUCAGUCCCCUCUCACCUCGCCAGCAGGUGGCAGUGUGUGUGUCUCGAGGCCACCUUCUGUGCCAUCUCCCGUACACCCUGUCACCUUGUGGAGUCAGACCCCACUUCGGGCCACGCUGCCGUCUCUCUGCUCCGCCUCGCUGCCCCACUGCCGGUAUGUCUUUGGUGCUGUUGGUCCUGCUGGCACGGAGUCUGGGAGCCUGGCUUUCGCUUCCCAGCCCGUCCCGCUGGCUCAUCCGCACAAUUAGACUUGGCUAUGCGAUUCAGUUCGCCCAGCGUCCCCCAUUGUUCAGGGGUGUUCACUACGCUUGUGUUUCUGUGAACGAUGCCCCUGUACUUUGGGUGGAGAUCGCUGUCCUCCUGUCGAAGGACGCAAUAGAGACGGUCCCUUCAGCCGAUAUGAAUUCAGGGUUCUACAGGCCCUACUUCAUUGUACCCAAGAAAGGCAGUGGGUUAUGGCCAAUCUUGGAUCUGCUUGUCCUGAAUCAGUUCCUUCUCAGGCGGUCAUUCAAGAUGCUGACGCAGAAACACAUUUUCGAAUGCAUCCGUCCCCAAGAUUGGUUUGUAGCGAUCGACCUGAAGGAUGCAUACUUUUAUGUCUUGAUUCUGCCUUGAUACAGACCCCUUCUAUGGUUUGCGUUCGAGGGUCAGGCAUAACAGUACAAAGUCCUAUCCUUCGGGGCGGCCCUGUCGCCCCGCGUCUUUACAAAGGUCACAGAGGCAGCCAUUGUUCCCCUCAGGGAAAAGGGCGUUCACAUCCUCAAUUAUCUUGACGACUGGCUCAUUCUAGCUCACUCACGAGAUCAACUGUGCGAACUGUGCGGGAAUCUGGUGUUAGCUCACCUCAGCCAGUUGGGGCUUCGUGUCAACUGGGACAAGAGCAAACUCACCCCUAGGCAGGGGAUCUCUUAUCUUGGUAUGAAACUGGACUCGGUCAGCCAGACAGCACGCCUCACCGAGGAGUGCAUCCAGUCAGUGUUGAACUGCCUGAGUUCGCUCAAGAGCAGGACGGCGGCCCCACUGAAGUCAUUUCAGAGGCUCCUAGGGCAUAUGACGGUCUGCACUCCUGUCACAUGUUGCAACAUGCCAGCCAUCUCCUCUUAUGGAGUCAGAAGCAUCUGAGGUCGCUUCGUGCCAUUCACAUCCUAGGCGUGCUCAACCAUGCAGCUGACAAGCUCUCACGGCAGCCUCCACUUCCAGGAGAUUGGAGACUCUAUCCCCAGGUGGUCCAGCUGAUUUGGCAGCGUUUUGGGGCUGCAGAGAUUGAUCUGUUUGCCUCUCCAGACACAGCCCAUUGCCAGUUGUUUUACUCCCUGACUGAGGGCACUCUCAGCAUGGACACAAUGGUACACAGCUGGCCCCGGGACCUUCGCAAAUAUGCGUUUCCCCCAGUGAGCCUGCUUGCACAGCUCUUGUGCAAAGUCAGGGAGAACGAUGAGCAGGUCCUGUUAGUGAUGCCCUAUUGGCCCACUCGGACCUGGUUUCCAGAACUGAUGCUCCUUGUGAUAGCACCUAUUCCUCUGAGGAAGGACCUUCUGACUCAGAGACAGGGCACCCUAUGGCACCCACAUCAGGACCUCUGGAAACUUCUUGUCUGGUCCCUGAACAGGAUCCCCAUCCUGAUUCUAGGUGAUAUACCCUAGUCGGUUGUAGACACCAUCACUUCUGCAAGAGCUCCUUUUACGAGGAACUUCUAUGCUCUGAAGUGGAACCUGUUUGUCGAGUGGUGUUCCUCUCACCGAGAGAACCCUCAAACAUGUUCAAUCAAGUCAGUGUUUUCCUUUCCUUCCGGAUAUGUGCCCAAGGUUCCUACCACUCCCUUUAGAGACCAGGUAGUGAACAUGCAAGCACUGUCCUCAAAGGAUGCAGACCCAGCCCUAACUUUGCUCUGUCCCGUCCACGUGUACGUGGACAGAACGCAAAGCUUCAGGACCUCAGACCAGCUCUUCGUCUGUUAUAGAGAGAGAAGGGAAAGGCUGUCUUCAAGCAGAGGAUGGCCCACUGGAUAGUGGACACCAUCACCUUGGCUUAUCAGUCCCAAGGCGUGCCUUGCCCACUCGGGUUGAGAGCCCUUUCCACUAGAGGAGUUGCACGCGCCUCGCUGACAGAUAUAUGUAGAGCUGCGGGCUGGGCAACACCUAACAUGUUUGCUAGAUUCUAUAACCUUUGUGUAGAACCGGUAUCUUCCCGUGUACUCCGUUCCAGUAGCCAGUAGCAUGAAGGACCCAUUCUAAGUGACAGCUUGCAACGCUACUCCCGCCCUCUGGGCCGGAUACGUGCAUCCAUUGCUCUAGCGAGUUCCAUGUCUGGUGAACCCUGUAGAGUUCCUCCCCCACCCCCUGCGGCUCGGACAUUGCGGAGUGUCUGAUGCUAGGUCAAGUGCUCAUUACUCGGCUGUGCUUGACUGGGUGCCAUAUGUUGUGACCCCUACGGCAGUCCCAUAUGUGUAUUUCUCCACGGUAACCUCCUUAAGGUGAGUCCGUGUCUUUCCCUUGUACAUGUUUGUAUUUUUGAAGGAAUAACAUUUAUGCGUGGUCAUUGAAAAAACAAAAAACUUAAGUCACUGAAAUACGGCCACAAAAUAAAUACAAAAUAUGUGUUCACAAGGCUUCUGGGUAUUGGAAGUUGUAGACUAGAGUUUUUGCUUCAAAAUGAUGUAAAAAUUAUCCUGCCUACUCGUUCAUAUAAAACAAUAUAUUGAUUUAAAUUUUGUUAGACACUUUUUGUCAAGAAACACAGAAUGCAUGGAGGCGUGCAUCUUCAUGAAUAAUGCUGUGAUUCACACCUGAGAAGACACAGACCCACAUAAUGACCCGCAUAACGAGCCCUUUCAGUCAGUUCUGGCUAAGGACAAUAAGAAGACAUCUGCUCUUGCUGAAACCUAUUCAUCUCUGGGGUCAGUCACCCAGUUUCAACCACUAACACAAACGACACAAGUCAACACAAGUAGGACUGCUCGUGGACUUCAGGCAUUUAUGAAAGGCAAACCAAAAGCCCUUGGGAUUGUCCAGAUAAUCACUGGUCUGUUGAGUAUCCUGUUUGGCAUCAUGGCUGGAAUUACUUUUCCAAGCUUCUCUUUCAUUAUUGGUUUUCCUUUCUGGGGAUCUGCCAUCUACAUUACUGCAGGCUCACUCUCUGUUGCUGCAAAAAACAAACUUGCUUCAUCCUCCAGUUUGUGUUUGGUGAAAGGUUCACUUGGAAUGAACAUUGUGGCUAUUUUUACUGCAGGCCUUUCCAUUGUUGCAUUUUUAGUGGAGUUGUCAAGCUGCAGUGUUUAUUGUGGUAGAGUAGGGUUUGAGGAUAAUUAUCGGGAACAUUUCUUGGCAGUUCAUGGUAUAUUGCUGAUAUUCACCGUCCUUGAGUUUGUCAUUUCCAUCCAUCUGUCAGGAUUUGCCUGUAAAGCCACCUGUUGCACUUCCUCAGGGGCUCAACCUGUCUGAACUCUGGUUGGUUGGGGAAGCUUUCAAACAGCAUGAUGUCAACUCCUCCGCUGCCAAUCAUUCCCGUCAGCAUUUAAAAGGACGUCAAAAUGAACGUGAGACUUGGCUCCCCUGCCUUCAUCUCUGUGUUGCUCUUUUGUAUCGUCAGUAUUGUUUACUCUGUGACAGUCUUAACCCAACCUUUUUUUACAACCCGAAUUCCAGAAAUGUUGGACCGUUUUUUAAAUGUGAAUAAAAUGAAAACUAAAAGAUUUUCAAGUGACAUGAGCCAAUAUUAUUUUCACAAUAGAACAUAGAUAACAUAACAAAUGUUUAACUGAGAAAUUUUACAAUUUUAUGCACAAAAUGAGCUCAUUUCAAAUUUGAUGCCUGCUACAGGUCCCAAAUUAGUGGGGACGGGGGCAUGUUUACCAUGGUGUAGCAUCUCCUCUUCUUUUCAAAACAGUUUGAAGACGUCUGGGCAUCAAGGUUAUGAGUUUCUGGAGUUUUGGUGUUGGAAUUUGGUCCCAUUCUUGCCUGAUAUAGUUUUCCAGCUGCUGAAGAGUUUGUGGUUGUCUUUGAUGUAUUUUUCUCUAUAGGUGAAAGAUCUGGACUGCAGGCAGGUCAAUUCAGCACCCAGGCUCUUCUAUGACGAAGCCAUGCUGUUGUAAUAGCUGCAGUAUGUUGUUUUGCAUUGUCCUACUGAAAUACACAAGACCUUCCCUGAAAUAGAUGUCAUCUGGAGGGGAGCAUAUGUUCCUCUAAAACCUUUAUAUAUACCUUUCAGCAUUCAUAGUGCCUUCCAAAACAUGUAAGCUGCCCAUACCGUAUGCAUUUAUGCACCCCCAUACCAUCAGAGAUGCUGGCUUUUGAACUGAAUGCUGAUAAAACACUGGAAGGUCUCCCGCCUCUUUAGCCCGGAGGACAUGGCAUCCAUGAUUUCCAACAAGAAUGUCAAAUUUGGACUCGUCUGACCAUAGACACUUUUCCACUUUAAAACAGUCAAUUUUAAAUGAGCCUUGUCCCACAGGACACGACGGCGCUUCUGGGCCAUGUUCACAUAUGGCUUCCUUUUUGCAUGAUAGAGCUUUAGUUGGCAUCUGCAGAUGGCACGGCGGAUUGUGUUUACCGACAGUGGUUUCUGGACGUAUUCUUAGGCCCAUUUAGUGAUGUCAUUGACACAAUCAGGCCAAUGGGUGAUGCAGUGUCGUCUGAGGGCCCGAAGACCACAGGCAUCCAAUAAAGUCUUCGGCCUUGUCCCUUAUGAGAUUUCUGCAGUUUCUCUGAAUCUUCCAAUGAUGUUAUGCACUGUAGGUGAUAAGAUUUGCAAAGCCUUUGCAAUUUGACUUUGAGGAUCAUUAUUUUAAAGUAUUCCUCAAUCUUUUUAUGCACUCUUUCACAGAUUGCCUAUCUUUACUUCUGAGAGACUCUGCCUCUAAGACAUCCCUUGUAUAGCUAAUCAUGUUACAGACCUGAUAUCAAUUAACUUAAUUAGUUGCUAGAUGUUCUCCCAAUCUUUUCAAAAUUUCUUGCUUUUUCAGCCCUUUUUUGCCCCUGUGCCAACCUUUUUGAGACCUGUAGCAGGCAUCAAAUUUGAAAUGAGCUCAUUUAGUGGAUAAAAGUGUAAAAUUUCUCAGUUUAAACAUUUGUUAUGUUAUCUGUGUUCUAUUGUGAAUAAAAUAUUGGCUCAUGUGAUUUAAAAAUCUUUUAGUUUUCAUUUUAAUUAAAUUUAAAAAAAUGUCCAAACAUUUCCAGAAUUUGGGUUGUAUGAAGACAUUAUUUAUCCAUGGCACAUUUUGAUUCUUUGAUUGGUAUUUUGAUUCUUCAUGUAAAUGUUGUUCAGAGGCUUGUAAGCUUUAUUUAUGCAUUAUUUUAUUUUUUUGUCAGGAAAUAAAUUUUAUUUAUAUAAAAGAAAGUUGGCCAUAGGAAUGUAUAAUUCAUUUUAAAAGUUAAGAAAUCUGUUCAAAGUUGGCAACAUUUAGUGAAUGAUUUUGGGAAAAGAUAUAUCUAGAUGCUUCCUUGCAGUUUUCUUUGUUUUCCACUGUUUUUAAAAUAAAAGCAGUUAUUCACUGUAUUUGUUUGCCUUUUGUUUUUGUGUUUCGGCUCAAAAUUCAUAUCAAGAUUUGUAUUUAUCGGCAAAUAUAUUGGUUUCGACUUCGACCAAUAUUUUCAAAUUGGUGCAUCCCAGAAAAACAUUUUGAUAAAUAUAUGCACGAGAUUGUAUAUGCACUGAUACUAGUAUCGGUAUCGGGCCCGAUACCAAGCUCAUGUACUUGUACUUGUACUCAUACUCGUAAAAAUACCCCCGAUACCAAAGACCAAUAAAUACAGUCGGUUAAUGGCUUAAGUGGACAUAAACAUUUGGGUGAAAACAGGAUAUGUGUCAGUAUCCAUGGACUCGGUCUUAAAGGGACCGUAGCCUAUAUUUGUCAUUAAUGUUAAUAAAACAACAUGAUAUGUUAAAUAAAUAUAUACAUGGUAAAUAAACCUACUGUAUAUGAAAAAACAAGUUUAUUUAAUUUGUAUCUCUGUAGUAUUUGUUGUAUUGUUUGUAAUUUGUUUGUAAAUUUCUUUUUAUAUAACAAAAACAUAUAUCGGCAAUUAUGCCCUUUAAAGGUUAUUGGACACUGUGAAUUUUUUGUUCUUUAAGUUUGUGACAAGCACAUAAAAAUUAUUACUUUUUUCAUUGGAGGAGUAAUAAAGAAGCUGUCCUACAUUCA